AUUGUGGACCUCUGGAAAUUCGCCGCUUCAGGUGCGUGGACCCACUCCAAGAGCAGGCCUCAGGAGGCAGGUCGGAAUCGGCGCAGAUGUCGGUACAUGUGGGAGAUGAGGGCGCUGUUACUGUUGUAGAUAAAAAUUCACUUGAGGCUUUGAGCGCACAAGAACUUCGUCGUUCUGGUUUGGACUGCAGUCUGGAUGAUUUAUCGAUUCACCCGAUUAUAGAUCGCCUCAAACCACUCCAAUAUAAUGCUUAUGCAGGCAGUUUGCAAGCAGCGCAGUCAUCGGUCCAUGUUGAAGAUGAUGGCGUUGUUGCUGCGGGAGCCUCAAAGCUAUCUGAGACUGAGAGUGUAGGAAGUACUCCGUUUGAGGCUCGGAGUUUAGCAACAAAUUCAUCUGAGACUCUGA
rnacentral:lncRNA from 1 species